GACGAACGCUGGCGGCGUGCUUAACACAUGCAAGUCGAACGGAAAGGCCCUGCUUUUGUUGGGUGCUCGAGUGGCGAACGGGUGAGUAACACGUGGGUAACCUGCCCUUGACUUUGGGAUAACUUCAGGAAACUGGGGCUAAUACCGGAUAGGAGCUCCUGCUGCAUGGUGUGGGUUGGAAAGUUUCGGCGGUUGGGGAUGGACUCGCGGCUUAUCAGCUUGUUGGUGGGGUAGUGGCUUACCAAGGCUUUGACGGGUAGCCGGCCUGAGAGGGUGACCGGCCACAUUGGGACUGAGAUACGGCCCAGACUCCUACGGGAGGCAGCAGUGGGGAAUAUUGCACAAUGGGCGGAAGCCUGAUGCAGCAACGCCGCGUGCGGGAUGACGGCCUUCGGGUUGUAAACCGCUUUCGCCUGUGACGAAGAGUGAGUGACGGUAAUGGGUAAAGAAGCACCGGCUAACUACGUG
rnacentral:rRNA from 1 species